rnacentral:rRNA from 1 species
CCUACGGGUGGCAGCAGUGGGGAAUAUUGCACAAUGGGGGAAACUCUGAUGCAGCGACGCCGCGUGAGUGAAGAAGUAAUUCGUUAUGUAAAGCUCUAUCAGCAGGGAAGAAAAUGACGGUACCUGAGUAAGAAGACCCGGCGAACUACGUGCCAGCAGCCGCGGGAAUACGUAGGGGGCAAGCGUUAUCCGGAUUUACUGGGUGUAAAGGGAGCGUAGACGGCAGGGCAAGUCUGGAGUGAAAGGCGGGGGCUCAACCCCCGAACUGCACUGGAAACUGUACGGCUGGAGUGCAGGAGAGGUAAGUGGAAUUCCUAGUGUAGCGGUGAAAUGCGUAGAUAUUAGGAGGAACACCAGUGGCGAAGGCGGCUUACUGGACUGUAACUGACGUUGAGGCUCGAAAGCGUGGGGAGCAAACAGGAUUAGAUACCCCAGUAGUC